GGGGUCCAGCUGUGGUAAAUUCAAUUGAUUGGACAUGAUUUGGAAAGGCACACACCUGUCUAUAAGGUCCCACAGUUGACAGUGCAUGUCAGAGCAAAAACCAAUCCAUGAGGUUGAAGGAAUUGUCCAUAGAGCUCUGAGACAGGAUUGUGUCGAGGCACAGAUCUUGGUAGGGGUACCAAAACAUUUCUGCAGCAUUGAAGAUCUCCUAGAACACAUUGGCCUCCAUCAUUCGAAAUUGAAUAAGUUUGGAACCACCAAGACUCUUCCUAGAGUUGGCCGCCCGGCCAAACUGAGCAAUCAGGGGAGAAGGGCCUUGGUCAGGGAGGUGACCAAGAACCUAAUGGUCACUCUGACAGAGCUUUAGAGUUCCGUUGUGGAGAUGGGAGAACCUUCCAGAAGGACAAUCAUCUCUGCAGCCUCCAUCUAUAACAACACAGGGAGAGACCCAGAUACGGACACCGGAGGCAGAUAGUUCGAGUCUCUGAUAUUUAUUGAAAAACAAGGUGCAGGCAAGAGGCAGGUCGAGGACAGUCAGAAGUUCAUAAACCAGGUCUAGAUGGUACAGGGCGGCAGGCAGGCUCGGGGUCAGGGCAGGUUGAAUGGUCAGGCAGGCAGGUACAGUGUCAGGGCAGGUUGAAUGGGCAGGCAGGCAGGCAGGCUCGGGUUCAGGGCAGGUUGAAUGGUCAGGCAGGCAGGUACAGUGUCAGGGCAGGUUGAAUGGGCAGGCAGGCAGGCAGGUACAGUGUCAGGGCAGGUUGAAUGGUCAGGCAGGCAGGUACAGUGUCAGGGCAGGUUGAAUGGUCAGGCAGGCAGGUACAGUGUCAGGGCAGGUUGAAUGGUCAGGCAGGCAGGUACAGUGUCAGGGCAGGUUGAAUGGUCAGGCAGGCAGGUACAGUGUCAGGGCAGGUUGAAUGGUCAGGCAGGCAGGUACAGUGUCAGGGCAGGUUGAAUGGUCAGGCAGGCAGGUAUAGUGUCAGGGCAGGCAGGCAGGCAGGUACAGUGUCAGGGCAGGCUGAAUGGUCAGGCAGGCAGGUACAGUGUCAGGGCAGGCUGAAUGGUCAGGCAGGCAGGCAGGUACAGUGUCAGGGCAGGCUGAAUGGUCAGGCAGGCAGGCAGGUACAGUGUCAGGGCAGGCUGAAUGGUCAGGCAGGCAGGCAGGUACAGUGUCAGGGCAGGCUGAAUGGUCAGGCAGGCAGGUACAGUGUCAGGGCAGGCUGAAUGGUCAGGCAGGCAGGUACAGUGUCAGGGCAGGCUGAAUGGUCAGUCAGGCAGGCAGGUACAGUGUCAGGGCAGGCUGAAAGGUCAGGCAGGCAGGUACAGUGUCAGGGCAGGUUGAAUGGUCAGUCAGGCAGGCAGGUACAGUGUCAGGGCAGGCUGAAAGGUCAGGCAGGCAGGUACAGUGUCAGGGCAGGCUGAAUGGUCAGGCAGGCGGGUACAGUGUCAGGGCAGGUUGAAUGGUCAGGCAGGCGGGUACAGUGUCAGGGCAAGCUGAAUGGUCAGGCAGGCAGGCAGGUACAGUGUCAGGGCAGGCUGAAUGGUCAGGCAGACAGGUACAGUGUCAGGGCAGGCUGAAUGGUCAGGCAGACAGGUACAGUGUCAGGGCAGGCUGAAUGGUCAGGCAGACAGGUACAGUGUCAGGGCAGGCUGAAUGGUCAGGCAAGCAGGUACAGUGUCAGGGCAGGCUGAAUUGUCAGGCAGGCAGGUACUGUGUCAGGGCAGGCUGAAUGGUCAGGCAAGCAGGUACAGUGUCAGGGCAGGCUGAAUUGUCAGGCAGGCAGGUACUGUGUCAGGGCAGGCUGAAUGGUCAGGCAGGCAGGUACAGUGUCAGGGCAGGCAAAUAGUCAGAACCUAGAGGACUAGGAAAACAGAGACUAUCAAAAACACGCUAGUUGA